UUUUCUGACUUCUUCGAAAUCUUGGAUUCUUCGAUCUUCGACGAUACGCACCGGUUCUUCAAGACUCCGACUCACUUCACGAAACUUGCCAAUACACAAGACUUAACAAUCUCCCCCUUUGGCAAUUUCGUGACAAACACACACCAACUCAAAAAUUACAAUUUACAGAAAAAUAAAGUUCAAUUGUCAUCACCAAAACAUUGAAUUCCUCGCGUGUAAUCCAAAUACAAUUUGAAACUCAAACUUACAAAAAAAACUCCUAAAACAGACUCUAUGACUUA
rnacentral:lncRNA from 1 species